GACGAACGCUGGCGGCGUGCUCAACACAUGCAAGUCGAGCGGAAAGGCCCUUUCGGGGGUACUCGAGCGGCGAACGGGUGAGUAACACGUGAGUAAUCUGCCCCUGGCUUUGGGAUAGCCACCGGAAACGGUGAUUAAUACCGGAUACGACCACUUCUCGCAUGGGAUGGUGGUGGAAAGUUUUUCGGCCAGGGAUGUGCUCGCGGCCUAUCAGCUUGAUGGUGAGGUAAUGGCUCACCAUGGCUUCGACGGGUAGCCGGCCUGAGAGGGUGACCGGUCACACUGGGACUGAGGAACGGCCCAGACUCCUACGGGAGGCAGCAGUGGGGAAUAUUGGACAAUGGGCGGAAGCCUGAUCCAGCAACGCCGCGUGAGGGAUGACGGCCUUCGGGUUGUAAACCUCUUUCAGCAGGGACGAAGCGCAAGUGACGGUACCUGCAGAAGAAGCACCGGCCAACUACGUGCCAGCCGCCGCGGUAA
rnacentral:rRNA from 1 species